AACGAGAUGAUAUUUGAGCACUUCGGUGCGUCUGAAAUUUCAGCUGCACGGUCGACGCAUAACGACGACCUCAUCAUGUCCAUAUUUCACACCACGGGGUCCCGUUCUGCAUAGUAGCGUCGCGACGUUCUCUCCUUCGGGAUGAUACCUCGCGUGCCCCGAGUGCCUUCACCUACUUCGCGGUAACAGUAAUUUGCUUUCGUGUAUGUCCCGCGCGUUCGGUUUCGUUCGAGCGUGUAUCACUUUCCUCGGUGAUUUUCCAUGGAACGUAUCGGCGAAUAAAUAAAGAAAAUACCGACAAUUAUGGUAAAUGUUCGCCGUUCGUAUUGCGAAAUAAAUUGCGGAGGAGUAUCGCGUACAUUUUAUGCUAUUGCACACUUGUACAGAAUUGCAAGAUUGAGCUUUGGAGUAAUUCGGAAGAACGAGACGAACAUCGUUUGGCUGGGGUCAUAAAUUCUGCGAGAGUAAUAUUUUGAUAGGUUGUAAUCGCUUCCGAAUCUCUCGUUCAGCAGCGUUGUUAAGAUUUGACAGAGCAAAACGACGCGGUAGUGAUCAGGAAUACUGGUUCAGAGAAAUCAUCCGAGAGCUGGAGAUCGCCGAGCGCCUAACUCGGCAUUCUUAUCGAGUAUUCCGCGGCCGCGAAUGCGCGAUCCGAUCGAGAGCUGACGGUAGACCGCAUAAUAAGACCACGUAUUCUUCCCGUCGAGGCGUAACCUUGGUCGUGCGGAGAAUGGUCGAAUCAGCUGUUUCAGGUGGAAGGCCUCCCGUGGUACACAAUGGGCUAUCACGUGACUGGCAAGCGUUUAUUAGCCGACGCGAGACGAGAAAAUGGGUGGCGAAAGAACGGAAACAGAUAAAUUAAAAGAGAUGAAAGUUUCACGCAAUAGGAUCUCAAGAUAUUUGUUUUGAUAUUUUUAGUUGGUGUUUGACGUUAGUUUCACACAACAAAGUUUCACACACAGGAACUCAAAAUAUUUGUUUUGGUAGAAGAUAAUUACACGACAAAUGAAAAUAAAUGAUAAGAAGAAAUACUGAUGUAGCAACUAAUGAAUUUUUGUUGGCGUUCGACACUAUUUUUUGAAGAUUCCAAAACCAUAAAAAUUCCAUGAAACUGAAAUUAAUGGUACAAACAGUUUGUCUACUACAGAAUUAAGUACAACGGUCAUACAAAAGAUGAAUUAAUAAAAUAUGAAGAGUAAAAAAUUAUUUAUAAGGAACAAGUUGCAACAAUGCGAGAACGUUAAUGCCAAAGGUGAUUAUGAUUAAAACGUUUACCAGCAUUUUGCGACUUGAUCAAGAAGUAACAAUUUAUGCUAGACAUAUUUUCUUCUUUCCAUUUGAUCAGCCUUUCAAAUUUCUUAAAUCCU